rnacentral:rRNA from 1 species
AGCGUACACGGUGGAUGCCCUGGCAGUCAGAGGCGAUGAAGGACGUGCUAAUCUGCGAUAAGCGCCGGUAAGGUGAUAUGAACCGUUAUAACCGGCGAUUUCCGAAUGGGGAAACCCAGUGUGAUUCGUCACACUAUCAUUAACUGAAUCCAUAGGUUAAUGAGGCGAACCGGGGGAACUGAAACAUCUAAGUACCCCGAGGAAAAGAAAUCAACCGAGAUUCCCCCAGUAGCGGCGAGCGAACGGGGAGGAGCCCAGAGCCUGAAUCAGCAUGUGUGUUAGUGGAAGCGUCUGGAAAGGUGCGCGAUACAGGGUGACAGCCCCGUACACAAAAGCGCAUGUGCUGUGAGCUCGAUGAGUAGGGCGGGACACGUGGUAUCCUGUCUGAAUAUGGGGGGACCAUCCUCCAAGGCUAAAUACUCCUGACUGACCGAUAGUGAACCAGUACCGUGAGGGAAAGGCGAAAAGAACCCCGGCGAGGGGAGUGAAAAAGAACCUGAAACCGUGUACGUACAAGCAGUGGGAGCACAGGUUUACCUGUGUGACUGCGUACCUUUUGUAUAAUGGGUCAGCGACUUAUAUUCUGUAGCAAGGUUAACCGAAUAGGGGAGCCGGAGGGAAACCGAGUCUUAAUUGGGCGUUAAGUUGCAGGGUAUAGACCCGAAACCCGGUGAUCUAGCCAUGGGCAGGUUGAAGGUUGGGUAACACUAACUGGAGGACCGAACCGACUAAUGUUGAAAAAUUAGCGGAUGACCUGUGGCUGGGGGUGAAAGGCCAAUCAAACCGGGAGAUAGCUGGUUCUCCCCGAAAGCUAUUUAGGUAGCGCCUCGUGAAUUCAUCUCCGGGGGUAGAGCACUGUUUCGGCUAGGGGGCCAUCCCGGCUCACCAACCCGAUGCAAACUGCGAAUACCGGUGAAUGUUAUCACGGGAGACACACGGCGGGUGCUAACGUCCGUCGUGAAGAGGGAAACAACCCAGACCGCCAGCUAAGGUCCCAAAGUCAUGGUUAAGUGGGAAACGAUGUGGGAAGGCCCAGACAGCCAGGAUGUUGGCUUAGAAGCAGCCAUCAUUUAAAGAAAGCGUAAUAGCUCACUGGUCGAGUCGGCCUGCGCGGAAGAUGUAACGGGGCUAAACCAUGCACCGAAGCUGCGGCAGCGACGCUGAUGCGUUGUUGGGUAGGGGAGCGUUCUGUAAGCCUGUGAAGGUGUGUCGUGAGGCAUGCUGGAGGUAUCAGAAGUGCGAAUGCUGACAUAAGUAACGAUAAAGCGGGUGAAAAGCCCGCUCGCCGGAAGACCAAGGGUUCCUGUCCAACGUUAAUCGGGGCAGGGUGAGUCGACCCCUAAGGCGAGGCCGAAAGGCGUAGUCGAUGGGAAACGGGUUAAUAUUCCCGUACUUGGUGUUACUGCGAAGGGGGGACGGAGAAGGCUAUGUUGGCCGGGCGACGGUUGUCCCGGUUUAAGCGUGUAGGUGUGUGUUCCAGGUAAAUCCGGUUCACUUUAACACUGAGGCGUGAUGACGAGGCACUACGGUGCUGAAGCAACAAAUGCCCUGCUUCCAGGAAAAGCCUCUAAGCAUCAGGUAACAUCAAAUCGUACCCCAAACCGACACAGGUGGUCAGGUAGAGAAUACCAAGGCGCUUGAGAGAACUCGGGUGAAGGAACUAGGCAAAAUGGUGCCGUAACUUCGGGAGAAGGCACGCUGACACGUAGGUGAAGUGAUUUACUCACGGAGCUGAAGUCAGUCGAAGAUACCAGCUGGCUGCAACUGUUUAUUAAAAACACAGCACUGUGCAAACACGAAAGUGGACGUAUACGGUGUGACGCCUGCCCGGUGCCGGAAGGUUAAUUGAUGGGGUCAGCGCAAGCGAAGCUCCUGAUCGAAGCCCCGGUAAACGGCGGCCGUAACUAUAACGGUCCUAAGGUAGCGAAAUUCCUUGUCGGGUAAGUUCCGACCUGCACGAAUGGCGUAAUGAUGGCCAGGCUGUCUCCACCCGAGACUCAGUGAAAUUGAACUCGCUGUGAAGAUGCAGUGUACCCGCGGCAAGACGGAAAGACCCCGUGAACCUUUACUAUAGCUUGACACUGAACAUUGAGCCUUGAUGUGUAGGAUAGGUGGGAGGCUUUGAAGUGUGGACGCCAGUCUGCAUGGAGCCGACCUCGAAAUACCACCCUUUAAUGUUUGAUGUUCUAACGUGGACCCGUAAUCCGGGUUGCGGACAGUGUCUGGUGGGUAGUUUGACUGGGGCGGUCUCCUCCUAAAGAGUAACGGAGGAGCACGAAGGUUGGCUAAUCCUGGUCGGACAU